AGUGAACGCUGGCGGUAGGCCUAACACAUGCAAGUCGAACGGCAGCACAGUAAGAGCUUGCUCUUACGGGUGGCGAGUGGCGGACGGGUGAGGAAUACAUCGGCAUCUACUUUUUCGUGGGGGAUAACGUAGGGAAACUUACGCUAAUACCGCAUACGACCUACGGGUGAAAGCAGGGGAUCUUCGGACCUUUCGCGAUUGAAUGAGCUGAUGUCGGAUUAGCUAGUUGGCGGGGUAAAGGCCCACCAAGGCGACGAUCCGUAGCUGGUCUGAGAGGAUGAUCAGCCACACUGGAACUGAGACACGGUCCAGACUCCUACGGGAGGCAGCAGUGGGGAAUAUUGGACAAUGGGCGCAAGCCUGAUCCAGCCAUACCGCGUGGGUGAAGAAGGCCUUCGGGUUGUAAAGCCCUUUUGUUGGGAAAGAAAAGCAGCAGGUUAAUACCCCGCUGUUCUGACGGUACCCAAAGAAUAAGCACCGGCUAACUUCGUG
rnacentral:rRNA from 1 species